rnacentral:rRNA from 1 species
GACGAACGCUGGCGGCGUGCCUAAUACAUGCAAGUUGAGCGCUGAAGGUUGGUACUUGUACCAACUGGAUGAGCAGCGAACGGGUGAGUAACGCGUGGGGAAUCUGCCUUUGAGCGGGGGACAACAUUUGGAAACGAAUGCUAAUACCGCAUAAAAACUUUAAACACAAGUUUUAAGUUUGAAAGAUGCAAUUGCAUCACUCAAAGAUGAUCCCGCGUUGUAUUAGCUAGUUGGUGAGGUAAAGGCUCACCAAGGCGAUGAUACAUAGCCGACCUGAGAGGGUGAUCGGCCACAUUGGGACUGAGACACGGCCCAAACUCCUACGGGAGGCAGCAGUAGGGAAACUUCGGCAAUGGACGAAAGUCUGACCGAGCAACGCCGCGUGAGUGAAGAAGGUUUUCGGAUCGUAAAACUCGGUUGGUAGAGAAGAACGUUGGUGAGAGUGGAAAGCUCAUCAAGUGACGGUAACUACCCAGAAAGGGACGGCUAACUACGUG